UCCCUGGUGGUCCAGUGGUUAAGAUUCUGAACUUCAAUGCAGAGGGCUUAGGUUUGAUCCCUGGUUAGGGAA
rnacentral:tRNA from 1 species